CUUACAGAGUUCUUUGGCAUUCUGUCCACCUCCCUCUUCUUUAGAAAUGAAGAUGACCAAGAAAAUGAAAAGGACAAAAAAAAAGGAGGUUUAAUUAACGUGGAGGUGGGCAUACUGCCAAUAGAGCUGUGUUGA
rnacentral:pre_miRNA from 1 species